GAUUGGGGAGAGCUCACCAAGCAGCCAGGGGAAAGAUCCCAGCGAGGAGAGUGAUUCUGAGGCAGGAGCACAGAGCAGUCCAGAGCCCCGAAGACACACCUCAGUAGGAACAGGAAGAGUAGGGUCCUCAGUGGUACUAAAUGAGAGCCAGGACCCUGCAAUGACACCCGAGAAACCAGUCAGAUCCAAUUCAGUACUGAGAAGAGGAGGGGAGAACAAACCAGAGAGAUACCUACACCGAAUACUCCACUGACUUCACAGUCAAAACUGGAACGGGGUUGAAAUAUAACACAGGCACAGGCAGUGGCAGUUUUAGGUGGAACUAAUAACGGAAAAGUUUCUCAUAAUACCAAAGUGUCUUAUUGGCAGGAUCUGCCCUGUGGCACACCACACAUCCACUUGAACAUUUCAGCACAAACCUGUGAGUGGUUGAAGGUAUCUCACACCUUUUUUACAGUGAAUGGCUCUCCAUAACUGCCUUGUGUUUUCUUAAAUGCAUCCUACCAGCCACACUAACCAGGCACACUGACAAUUUGUUAUUGCUGAUAUAAGUUUAAGUGGUUUCCCUUUAGAAAUCAGUAUCCGGACAACCCGUUAUAAAACGAUUUAACUAUAUUGCAAAGUCACACUUUCGGUACCAACAGAAGGCUUAUAUGUAUUUCUAUAUUAUAUACUUUAUGUAUGCACACGUGUUUAUAUGUUUGUAAUUUAGCUUGAAAAUAUGUUAAUGUUCAAAUUUUGUAUUUACACUAACCAAUGCUGAAAAAGGAAAAUGUCACACAACCAAGAUCAGGUGCAUUUUACCCCCCAUGUUCCGGAGUCACGAGUGUGGUACGUUACACUACAUUAUAAAUAUUAUGAAAAGUAGGAAUAACACUGGACUCACGUCAUUGUACAGAGUGAAUGAGUCAAAUGUUACAUUGACUGAACUGCUCCACCAGUUUAUCUUGUCCUUGGUUUGUGCUUCAAUAAGCAGAGAUAAGUACAGAAUGCAUAAGAUGUUUAUUAAGUCUGACAACACAGAAAUUAGGUAAAUAGAAAGAGGAAGGAUGCUUGAGUGUCUAGAUGGUGGAAUAAAAGAGAUUUAGAGAUGCAGGCUGGAUAAUCAAAGGCUUAAAAGAGUGAAUGAAGCAUAUACAUUAAAAAGUAGCCACGCAGACUGAUUAGCUCACAUAUAGCGCCACCAGAAACAAAUCAAGAGGCACAUUCUGGAGGGAGUGGUUAAGCAGAUCAAAGCAUAAAUAAUAGAAUAAAGAGGAGGGAUGCCCAGUGUAUUGAAUAGAAUUUUCACCAAAGCUUCAUUUGUUUAAAGUGUCAGGUAGUCAAACAUAAUACAUUUUGAGUGCAAUGCUCGCUGCGCAGGGAAAGGCAAACUUGAAAAAGCAGUGUUUAAGCUCACAGUGUGAAAUCCCACUGUGCCGAUGAAUAUAAAACCUCGUCAGAUGGCUGGAAACUGAAAUUGUCAUUUUUGAUUUUUAGUAAUAAAGUCUUUGUAUUUUCUCUCUG
ensembl:lncRNA